rnacentral:tRNA from 1 species
CGGGAUAUGGCCCAGCUUGGUAGGGCGCUUGGUUCGGGACCAAGAGGUCGCGGGUUCGAAUCCCGCUAUCCCGACCA